UGGGGAAUAUUGCACAAUGGGCGAAAGCCUGAUGCAGCAACGCCGCGUGAACGAUGAAGGUCUUCGGAUCGUAAAGUUCUGUCGCAGGGGAAGAUAAUGACGGUACCCUGUGAGGAAGCACCGGCUAACUACGUGCCAGCAGCCGCGGUAAUACGUAGGGUGCUAGCGUUAUCCGGAUUUACUGGGCGUAAAGGGUGCGUAGGUGGUCUUUCAAGUCGGUGGUUAAAGGCUACGGCUCAACCGUAUUAAGCCGCCGAAACUGGAAGACUUGAGUGCAGGAGAGGAAAGUGGAAUUCUCAGUGUAGCGGUGAAAUGCGUAGAUAUUGAGAAGAACACCAGUAGCGAAGGCGGCUUUCUGGACUGUAACUGACACUGAGGCACGAAAGCGUGGGUAGCAAACAGG
rnacentral:rRNA from 3 species